rnacentral:pre_miRNA from 1 species
UAGACAUAUUAUUGUAUUCGACUGUAUUCACGAUAUGUAUUUAAGAAUAUAGUUACAUAAAUAGCGCAAUUCAUGGUCUAUUAAGUUGUUUUUAAACGAAAAGUGAAUCAAUUAACACAAUAGACUCCU